AUGCCCAAGAUGCUUGACCUCAUUGAUCGGGUCGAAUACCAAAGCCAUAAGAAACAAGCGGCUGAUCUCCUCCCGCAUAUCAAGGAUGCAGUCUUCGAAGCGGAGGACCUGCUUGACGAGCUUGAUUAUGAUGCGCUCAAGUGGAAAGUUGAGUGCAGCAAGAAUUUGGGGCUAGACCAAUUGCGUGAUACCUGUCUGGAAUUCUACGAAAGUGUCAGAUCUAAUGAUUACAUCAGAAAAGUCAACAGAAUUCAAAAAAAUCUAGAUCAUGUCCAUAAGCAGUCCAUGGAAAUGGGCUUGCACCAAGCACCUCUAAAGUUUGAUAAAUCUGUUAGGCCAGAAACAACUUCCUACUUUAACUGUGAGGAAAAAAUGAUUAGCCGUGAAAAAGAAAUGAAGGAGUUGGUGGGAAAACUAGGAGUUCAUUCACGGAAGAGAGGAAGGACUGAAAGCAAAGCAAGAAUGACCGAGUUGCAUGUGUUUUCCAUUGUUGGCAUGGGAGGGGUUGGAAAGACAACUAUGGCCCAACACAUCUGCAAGGAUACAAAUGUGAAGAAUCACUUUGGUGCCAAAAAUAUAAUUUGGACAUGUGUUUCAGAUGACUUUGACAUAAAACGGUUAACGAAAGACAUUGUAGAGGGCCUGGGAGGAGAUGCUUCAUCUAAUAGUCUGGAAGUUCUUAUGGGUAAAUUAGAAGGCUGCGUCAAGUCCAAAAAGUUCUUACUUGUCCUUGAUGACAUGUGGGAUGAUAUCUUGAAGGAUGACGGGGUGGAAUGGAAGAGGUUUUGUGCGCCUUUGAAAAAUGGCGUUGAAGGAAGUAGGAUUUUGGUCACCACUAGAUCUCCUGAGGUUGCUAAGAUAGUUGGCCCUAUGAAUAAUUAUGAGUUAAAGGGCUUAAAAGACGGGGUAUUCUUGGAGUUCUUCAAAUUCUGUGCAUUUGGAUCCAAGACUUUGGGCAACAACAGGGAGUCGUUGGAGCGCAUUGGUGAAAUAAUUGUUCCAAAGUUGAAGGGUUCCCCAUUGGCUGCCAAGACUAUUGGACGCUUGCUGAGAAUGGAUCUAAGUACAACACACUGGGGAAAUAUAAUGGAAAGUGAACUGUGGCGAUUAGAACAAACAGAGACCGACAUUCUGCCAGCCCUUCGACUGAGUUAUAUGUACCUCCCGCAGAAAUUGAAGAGAUGCUUCUCAAUCUGUGCAAUGUUUCCCAAGGAUUACAAAUUUGCGAAGGAUUUUCUAGCUGACAUUUGGAUUGCACUAGGAUAUGUGGAGUCAGCCCAAGAAGCAUCAAUGUGCUUUGAUGCCCUUGCAAAUCGUUAG
rnacentral:rRNA from 1 species